UGCAGGGCUGGGACACAUUACGACAGAGCACAAGAGCGCUGCAUUUUGUGUCCAAAUGGAGCCUUCCAAAAUGAGGACGGACAAGUCACUUGUGAACCAUGCCCAAGACCAGAAAAUCUUGGGGCUCUGAAGAUCUCAGAAGUCUGGAAUGUGUCUGAAUGUGGAGGUCUGUGCCAACCUGGUGAAUAUUCUGCAGAUGGCUUCACACCUUGCCAGCUCUGUGCCCUGGGCACAUUCCAGCCUGAAGCCGGCCGUACUUCCUGCUUCCCCUGUGGAGGAGGCCUCUCCACCAAACAUCUGGGAGCCACUUCCUUCCAGGACUGUGAAACUAGAGUUCAGUGUUCACCUGGACAUUUCUACAACACCACCACUCACCGAUGUAUUCGUUGCCCAGCUGGGACAUACCAGCCCGAAUUUGGAAAAAAUAACUGUGUUUCCUGCCCAGGAAAUACCACGACUGACUUUGAUGGCUCCACAAACAUAACGCAGUGUAAAAACAGAAGAUGCGGAGGAGAACUGGGAGACUUCACAGGAUACAUAGAGUCCCCAAACUACCCGGGCAACUACCCAGCCAACACUGAGUGCACUUGGACCAUCAGCCCC